rnacentral:lncRNA from 1 species
GUAAUGCAGAAUGAGUCUAGUUGGGGAACCCAGACACGGUCCCCCAAGGGGCAGGUGGGAUGGAGCUCCCGACUGGGGUCCAAAGGCCUAAUGUGGGGCAGGCCUCUGUCCUUGACUGCACUAUUAUGGGUGUUAGGAAUACAGCCGUUUGGAAAGAGACAAAAACGCUGGCCCUCGUGGAGCUUGCAUUCUAUUGGGAUCAUACAGCACAAAAACAUGAGUAAACUGAUGUGCUGUGCACCAGCUAACUAACUUACUCAAGGUCGCCGGAGCCAGGAGGGAAAACGCCAGUACUCGUGCCCAGGUCUGUCUGGCUCCAGAGCUCCUGCCCAUAACCCCCAGCUGUGCCUUAUUCCGCAGCAGUGUCAGUGACAGCGGUAGCCACUGACAUCACAAAGGUAGCCAAAGCCGAGCAAAGACCCCAUCUGCACAGUCCCCGAAACAAACAUGGUUCCCCACAACAUGAAGUGGAAAGACGAG